rnacentral:rRNA from 1 species
UACAGAGGGUGCAAGCGUUGUUCGGAAUUAUUGGGCGUAAAGGGCGCGUAGGCGGUGCGGUAAGUCACCUGUGAAAUCUCCUGGCUCAACUGGGAGCUUGCAGGCGAAACUGCCGUGCUGGAGUGUGGGAGAGGUGAGUGGAAUUCCCGGUGUAGCGGUGAAAUGCGUAGAUAUCAGGAAGAACACCCGUGGCGAAGGCGGCUCUCUGGAACGCAACUGACGCUGAGACGCGAAAGCGUGGGGAGCAAACAGG